AUAUUAAUAAGCGGAGGAAAAGAAACUAACAAGGAUUCCCUUAGUAACGGCGAGCGAAAAGGGAAGAGCCCAGCGCUGAAUCUGACGUUCCCCGGACGCUUAGAAAUGUGGCGUUUGGGACGAAACAUUGCCUGUAUUGAAAAAUUAUCCAAGUCCUUCUUGAAACGGGGGGCU
rnacentral:rRNA from 1 species